GCUCAUCUCCUUGCUUUCUCUCGCCCCCCCCUCUAAAUCUUUAAAUUCUAUUUUAUUUUUAUUUUUACCUAUAAUAAUAAUAAAGCACUGCCCCGUUUUAAGUAUUUUAACUCCCGAUCACCGCUACCCUUUCCGAUUGAUCUGAGCCUCAUAACAUAUGUCAGGGCUCUGCCCGACUAAGUUGUUGGGAUUCUAUCUCGGGACUUCGGGACAAGGUUGAAUUAGGGAUACUAUACUUACCACGAGUACAUUAUAUAUUUUUAAUAGCUUAGAAGUUAUACCCAAAUUUUAUACUAGGAGAUUUUCUAGUUAAACCCUAAAGUUACAAAUUGGGUCCAUUCUCUUUUCUCACCGUCUUAUUUCCUUUUUGUGAUUUACCCAAAACUAUUAUUUAUUAUUCUAUUUUGUAAACAACCCUCAUCAAAAUUCAUAUCUAUUAUUUUAUUUACCCAAUAGGAAACCCUAGUUGAGACCCUUAAAUAAUCCUGCAUAAACCCUAAAGCGUUCAUAACAAUCAGAAUCAGGAUCAGGGCCCCUAAAACUCAGAGGGGGCAUUUCCUAUUCGAUAUUAUCUACACAAUUCGUUGUCUAAAUAGAAUUUUAUGAAAACGUCGACUCACCAAGGCUAUGCAAGUGACCAGGCUACCCUAGGCUAGGGGUGUGUGCCCCGCGACACGCGACAGGGACCGAGGAUCCCUUCGCGACACGCAGGCGGUUCCAAAUUCAGCUAUAAAAGCCUUGGCCUGGGACUUGCUCAGUUUGAUUGCUUCGACGACCAAAUUCGUUUCCUACGUUGAGUUAUCAUCCGUUCACUACAUAACACACACUAGCACGAAGCGCUGCUACGAUACAGGGUAUUAACUCGAUCGCUGCUACGAUUCAAUAUCCGAUCGACUGAAACUAUCCGACAUGAUGUUUAAGUGUUAUCCUUUGUCAUUAGUCGUGAUUCCGACAGGAUGUUUGAAUGCCGCCCAAACUCGGGGUAGACUCUGUCAUUCGUUGUGAAUCCGAUGGAUGUUUAAGUGAUUGCACUUUGUCAUUCGUCAUGAGGGUUUUAAUCUCGUGAGUUGAUCGUAAAUGUUGUAUUAGUUAUUUACCUAGUUUCGGGUGCAUUAUCGCUUAAAUUAGGUUAUCCGGCUUAUCAGUAGACUAAACACUACCCAUACACUUACAAUCAAAGUAGAUGCUAAUUCUCAGAAGAGCUUGAAUCAGGAAACUUAUUAAUUCAAUACUGCAUGCUUAUAAUGUAAUUACAGUAAAUUGGAGUAAGAAUUGGAUCCGGCACUGAAGGACUUCAAGAAGUGGCUUAUUUUAUUAAUUAAAUCAAAUUAAGAAAUAUUGUUUUAUGUAAUCAAAUUUAUCUUUAUUAAAGCUACCAUUAUAAAACAUGGGUUUAUCCCAUCUAUUUAAUAAAUAAAAAUCCGAUGUUUUCUAAACUCUGAUAUUUUUCAUAACUCACGGUCCUGAUGAAAUUUCCGCUGCAAUGUUUUUUCAAAAUAAUCACCGGUACCACGUGGCUGUUCGCGGCUCCCGAUUCCGUUCAGGGUGGAUCGGGGGACGUGAAAUAAUGCUCCGGAAAUAUGAUGGGUUGAUCUUUGAUAUUGGUUAAUAUAUAACAUAUUAGAAAUACGAGAAUUUAAUGUAUUGGUAUGUUAGAGAAGCGAAAUCCGAGAGUUGGGUUGAGUGAAAUGAACAAAUCAAACAUAAUAAUGGAUUUCCAGGGACUACCGUAAGUUACGGUAGUACCGUAACUUAUGGUAGAGGUCAGGUGCGUACGGUGGGUUACUCCUGUUAUACGGUGGACCAGGAAUUUCCAGGACCUACCGUAACUUACGGUGACACCGUAAGUUACGGUGGAACCAGAAAAACUUAUAAUUUAUUAUUCAUAAUUAGAUGUUGGAUCUCGUGUUUAUAUACUAUAUAAUAAUGUCAAAACUAAUGUUUUAACGGUUUUGACCAUAGGUGAUGAAGUGGAUCUUACGGAUGGCGAUCAAGCGAAUGAUGAAGAACCGAACACUACAUUUUGAAGCUUCCGCAAUGUUUUAAAUCUUUAAUAGACUUUGUGUAUGGGUUGUAAACAAUUAUUAAACAACUUUUGGUAACGUUUUAACUUAGUCGUUAGUUGACUAAGGUUAAUGCUACUUAUGAAUCUCUUCAAUGAAGGUUAUCUUUUAUUUUAAUCAAUAAUUUAUUUGUAAUGGUAUAAUUUAUUAUUAAUUUCAAGUAAAUUUGAUACGGGUGUUACACUGGACUACACACAUAAUUUUUUAAUAUAUUUUUUUAUUUGAAAAUGAAGUGUGAGAUGAAUGUUUGUGUAAGUUUAGGGUUAGGGAAAAAAUUUGAAAGUUUUCUAGGUUAGUUUGAAAUAUGAUGCAAUGAGAUAAAUGUUUUUAUGAUUUGAAAUUGGUGCUAUUUAAGAUGUUCUUAACCCUUACGUGUAAAAAAUGUUUAAAGAAAAACUCCCUCAUAAAUUUUUAUAAGAGUUAAAUGUCAUUUUAGUUUAUGUGAUUUGAACAAUUUUGCUAGUUUAGUGCAAAGGUUUCAUUUUUCAUCUGUGGGUUUAAAAAGGUUUUAUCGUUGCCAUUUUAGUCCACUGUGUUACAGGGCCGGCUCAACCAAUUUGGAGGCCCAAAGCGAAAUAAAAAAAUCGAGGCCCCUUUUCACUUUUAUUUUUGGAUUAGUAGUGAAUUUAUAAACCAAGUGGUUUUUCUAUCAAAUAAAGUUAUUAAAAUAUGAUAGUUUAAGACUUGCAGCACAUGAAAAACACGAGGUAGCCAUGAGUUUUUCUUUGUAUAAUAUUGCUAGGUAUGAGGAUACAUAGAGGUAUUUAGAGACCUUUUUAUUUACUUUUUUAAAAUAUAGCUUAUUGUAAAUAUGCUAUAGGCUACGAGGAGCAUAGCGGGCUACAUAAACGUUCUCUAAUAUUUUAUACAUUUUCAUACAUUAUUUUAUUAAUUAUUAAUGUUCUUUAUAAUCAACACAAACAAAAUUAAUAUUUAUAAAAGUAAUGUUCUACUAUGAUAGUAAUAUGCGGCUAAAAUAUUCAUGAAAUUUAUUAAAACUUGAAGAGAUGAAAAAACUAAUGGUUUUAACUAAAAUAUAAUGAUUUCAUAAUUGAAAUUUGGAUAGAUGAGUAAAGAA
rnacentral:lncRNA from 1 species